rnacentral:rRNA from 1 species
GAUGAACGCUGGCGGCGUGCCUAAUACAUGCAAGUCGAGCGAACAGACGAGGAGCUUGCUCCUCUGACGUUAGCGGCGGACGGGUGAGUAACACGUGGAUAACCUACCUAUAAGACUGGGAUAACUUCGGGAAACCGGAGCUAAUACCGGAUAAUAUAUUGUGCCGCAUGGUUCAAUAGUGAAAGACGGUUUUGCUGUCACUUAUAGAUGGAUCCGCGCCGCAUUAGCUAGUUGGUAAGGUAACGGCUUACCAAGGCAACGAUGCGUAGCCGACCUGAGAGGGUGAUCGGCCACACUGGAACUGAGACACGGUCCAGACUCCUACGGGAGGCAGCAGUAGGGAAUCUUCCGCAAUGGGCGAAAGCCUGACGGAGCAACGCCGCGUGAGUGAUGAAGGUCUUCGGAUCGUAAAACUCUGUUAUUAGGGAAGAACAAAUGUGUAAGUAACUAUGCACGUCUUGACGGUACCUAAUCAGAAAGCCACGGCUAACUACGUG